CUGCUGGUCCAUAGAGGAGAGGGUUUGCUUUGGAGGCAGGGGUGUGAAUUCCCAGCAGCACAGGCACGCAUUCUGGGGAGAGGGUGUGUACAGGUGAGCACUGACGCUUCUGUGACAUCUCGUCUUGGACAGGUCUCCAUUCCUGAGUGGACGCAGGUGGCUCCGCGUGUGGGCUCGGAGUCUCCCCUCCCUGUACCUUGAGUUCGGAGAACUGGCCAUCCUCCAGGCUCCGUCAGCCAAUGGUGGGCAUGUUGUGGACAUCCUCUUCACACACGGUGGGCAUUUCAGCCCAAGGUCUCCUGAAUCCAUGGAUCCCUGGCAGAGGCUGUGGGCCAGGUCCCUUGAGGGACCUUGGCUGUCUCCCAAACUCACCAAUCGUGGACUGGCAAAAGGGAGGGGAAAAUCGUGCCCUGGUGGACUGUGAGGUAAGAUUCCUGUUG
rnacentral:lncRNA from 1 species